GGCUAUGCCUCAAUUGAUAAAGUGAACUAAUUGCCUACUUCAAAAGCAGUUUUGCAUGAAAGUAUAUGAAAUGAAUAACCAUCCUCGAAGAACCUCAACUAGCUGUCGGCAACAUGCAGGUUGACCGAGGAAUUUGUCGGUGUGUCCUUUAUGGACUGUACUCCGUCUUUGCACUAUCGUCAAUUUUACUCGGGAGUCACCGCUUCAGCCCGGUCCUUCUUUCAUAUAUCUACUGUCUUCAUAUAGAUGAAAGGUACUAUGUUAUAUUAUAAUAACACAUUCUAAUUAUUAAAUUUUAAAAGUGAGCAGCUCAUGGCCUUAAUAUUAUAUCUAGAAAAUUUAAGCGAAGUAUGCAAGACGGCGAGGCAUGAGCUACCGGGUAAAAAUCAAACUUAACUGACUCAUCCUCAUUUUAUUGGCUAAGCAAACUUCUUACUAACUUAUUUAUGUACUA